rnacentral:rRNA from 1 species
CAGCGCCACAAGUGGGGACCAUGUUUAUUGGGCCUAAAGCGUCCGUAGCCUGUUUAGUAAAUCUUUUGUGAAAUCAUCUCGCUUAACGUGAUGGAUUGCAGGAGACACUGCUAGACUUGGAACCGGGAGAGGUUAGAGGAAUUAUGGGGGUAGCGGUAAAAUGUUAUAAUCCCCGUAAGACCACCUGUGGCGAAGGCGUCUAACUAGAACGGUUUCGACGGUGAGGGACGAAAGCCAGGGGAGCGAUCCGGAUUAGAUACCCGAGUAGUCC